rnacentral:rRNA from 1 species
GACGAACCGUGCGAACGUUGUUCGGAAUCACUGGGCUUAAAGGGCGCGUAGGCGGGCAUCAUAGUCAGGGGUGAAAUCCUCCAGCUCAACUGGAGAAGUGCCUCUGAUACUGGGUGCCUCGAGGGGUGCAGGGGCGUGCGGAACUUCCGGUGGAGCGGUGAAAUGCGUAGAUAUCGGAAGGAACACCGGUGGCGAAGGCGGCACGCUGGACACCUUCUGACGCUGAGGCGCGAAAGCCAGGGGAGCAAACGGGAUUAGAUACCCCGGUAGUCCUGGCCCUAAACGUUGGGCACUGGGUAGCGGCCUUGCAUGGGGUCGCUGCCGCAGCAAAAGUGUUAAGUGCCCCGCCUGGGGAGUAUGGUCGCAAGGCUGAA